UACGUAGGGGUCGAGCGUUGUCCGGAGUUACUGGGCGUAAAGCGCGCGCAGGUGGCUCAUUACGCCCGGCGUGAAAGCCCCCGGCUCAACCGGGGAAGGUCGUCGGGUACGGGUGAGCUUGAGGGUAUCAGGGGCAGGUAGAAUUCCCGGUGUAGUGGUGAAAUGCGUAGAGAUCGGGAGGAAUACCCGUGGCGAAGGCGGCCUGCUGGGAUACACCUGACACUGAGGCGCGAAGGCGUGGGGAGCGAACGGG
rnacentral:rRNA from 1 species